CACACGUCUGCGCCCUGCAGCACGAAGCCGGAGUUCAGGCAGCGCCGGGCUAUCCUCCGCCACACCGCGUCCCUGCAGGUGAAGUGGCAGAGCCUCCUGCACACCUGCCCCAGCCGGGCCAGAGACCUGCCGUCCAGUUACCGCAUGAGCCCCCCGCAAAGCUACAGCGGAAGCCUCAAUGGAGAUAAACCUAGAGCAGGUCCGCAUGAAAACUCAUGACAGAAACCUCUGCACUGCACCCUCUUCAAACAACUGAUCGUGAUGGUGUCAGACCCCCACCCAUCAGAUACUGAUGACUGAGGAGAUGCCAUCUAUAUUUUACUUCCCAAAUAUCUUUAACAUAAUCACAUGACGGCAGCAGUGCAUCCUGGUACAGAAUGGAGGGAGAGAACUGUACGGCUACUGCAAUGGAAAAAAACUAAUUCCAAAAACCCAAAAAUUUUAUUGUGACUGACGGCAACCGAUCCUGUACUGAAUUGUACCUGCCCCAAUAAUGCAAAAUCAUUAUUUGAGAUGGUGAUUGACUCAAUAAAGGGAAAAUCCUGUGAACAUCAUGUUCUAAUACAUCAUAGAUAUAUGUAAGGUUGGGUUCAAAUCACGUUUUUGCCAUCCGUUUAUCGUAUA